rnacentral:rRNA from 1 species
GACGAACGCUGGCGGCGUGCUUAACACAUGCAAGUCGAACGGAAAGGCCCUGCUUGCAGGGUUCUCGAGUGGCGAACGGGUGAGUAACAAGUGGGUGAUCUGCCCUGCUCUUCGGGUUAAGCCUGGUCAACUGGGUCUAAUUCCGGCUAGGAGCUAUUUUUAGUGUGAUGGUUGGAAAGUUUUUUCGGUGUAGGGUGAGCUUGCAGCCUAUCAGCUUGUUGGGGUGGUAAUGGCCUACCAAGGCGGCUACGGGUAGCCGGCCUGAGAGGGUGGACGGCCACAAUGGGACUGAGGUGCGGCCGAGGCACCGACGGGAGGGAGCAGUGGGGAAGAUUGCAGAAGGGGCGCAAGCCGGAUGCAGCGACGCCGCGGGGGGGAUGACGGCCUUCGGGUUGUAGACUACAUGCGCAAGUGACGAAGCAUUUUGUGACGGUACCUAGAUAAGAAGCACCGGCUAACUACGUG